rnacentral:tRNA from 1 species
CAGGGUAUAGCUAAAAUAGUAUAGCACUUCCCUUACACUGAAUAUGCAUCUGUGCAAAUCAGAUUACCCUGA